UGGGGAAUCUUGGACAAUGGGCGCAAGCCUGAUCCAGCCAUGCCGCGUGGAUGAUGAAGGCCUUAGGGUUGUAAAAUCCUUUCGUGGGGGACGAUAAUGACGGUACCCCAAGAAGAAGCUCCGGCUAACUUCGUGCCAGCAGCCGCGGUAAUACGGAGGAUCCAAGCGUUAUCCGGAAUCAUUGGGUUUAAAGGGUCCGUAGGCGGUUAGAUAAGUCAGUGGUGAAAGCCCAUCGCUCAACGGUGGAACGGCCAUUGAUACUGUCUGACUUGAAUUAUUAGGAAGUAACUAGAAUAUGUAGUGUAGCGGUGAAAUGCUUAGAGAUUACAUGGAAUACCAAUUGCGAAGGCAGGUUACUACUAAUGGAUUGACGCUGAGGUGCGAAAGCGUGGGGAGCAAACAGGAUUAGAUACCCACGUAGUCCCUGAGCGGGCUGGCAAGGCGCAU
rnacentral:rRNA from 1 species